CCCGACCCGGAUUCCUUCCCAUUUUCCACAAAACACAAAACGAACAUAGCAGCCCUAAAUCACAUCUCUCCUACCCGAAAUCACAACUACAAAAAUGGGUUUGGGAGCCCUAAGAUCAAUAAUCCGACUCGUUUCUUCAAAAGCACUCUUAUCGACCCGACCCGUAUCCGCAUUCAACUCUCCGGUGACAAUAAUGUCUCCGGAAUGUUGAAGAAGGCCUGCAUGUGGCUUCAGUUAGUUUUCAUUCUUCUUGGCUGGCAGUUGAGGAGAUUUGUGGCUCGCCUUUUCUAAUUAUUUUUUUUUAAGUGCAUUUUUUUUUUAAAUAUGUAAUAAAAGUGAAACUCAAAGGAAAAAGUACAAGCAAGGGGGGCUAGGCCUUACCUCACCAAUAGCCUUUUAUAACUCAUUUGAUUGUGAUGCCAUUAAAUGCUAACCUUAAGUAGAAUGAGUCAAUAGUUCCAUUGGCCAUAACAAUGGUUGCUCAUGGAAUGUCUAAAUUUCAUUAGUUUCUGUCUAUGCGUAGUUGUCGCCUUUUUGACGAAAGCUUGAGGCUUUUCGUUUGUUUUAUAGAGGUAGAGGAGUUAGAAAAUAAUUUACCUAUUGCGAUUAUUGAUAAGGCCUUUGAGAAACUCGGAAAUGAUAUUGCCAUUGCUUUUGAGUAUUGAUGUUCUUACAUUGGGUUUUAUAAGGUUCUGCUCUUGAUAAUUUAUUUGGCUCUAUCAAAUGAUUUGUUUUCCUUCCUUGCAAAAUAUUGCUUUUUCCCCCCCUUCUUACAAAGUAUUGUAGUAACUGUUUAAGGUUAAAAUAAGGACCAUAAUAGCUUUCUUGUUCUGUUGAGUUCUCUAAUGUGGUUUUAUUGUUCAGUUGUGCAUAUUCUGAAAAUAUUGUUGGUUGAUCUACUGAAGAGAAGUACAUUCUAAAAAUGUUUUUCAUGAGCAGAGAAGUAGCUAAACAGAACGACCUUCAAGAAGUGUAGUUUCUGGAACUUGAGUCUUUUUCUACCCAUUUUCUUGUGUUUGGUAGGCAAAGUUGGAAAAUGUCAUUUUAAGAGCAUUUACAUAUAUUUAAAGCAAAACACUUUGAAGUUUUUAGAAUCGGAGUGUAACUUCUGGUGGUGGUGGUAGGCGUGUGGGAGGUGAGGUAAGUGGGGGUGGGUUGGGUCUGCAGGGGGUUGGCGGGUGGUGGGUGGGGGGUUGGGAUGGAGGUAGGCAGGUAGGGUUGUGUGGAUGGAUGGUGCCAAUGUGUCUUCAUUCCAUGGAUGACACUGAACUUUUAACUGAGGUAAGGGUCUUUUUUUAAGUCUUGACCUAUCUAGUACCUAGUUCCUUCUCUACUCUGCCACUUCUCGUGUAAGAAUGUGGCUGUUUAACUGGGAACCUCUGUUGGGCCUGCAUUUUUUAUCUGGUUUAUAAUUCAAUACCAAUAUUUCUACUAUAUAGAAGAGUGAAGCAAGGGACGACCAAGGGUAUUUCAGUAAUAUAGUGCUAAUUUGAGGGCAUAUUGUCGUACGUAUAUCUCAGCUUUCUUUAUAUCCGUUACUUUCUGGAAUCCAUUCGCUCUUCCACGGCUCUACUAUUUUUUUUUCCAAGAAUUUUUCAAUAAUGGUGCCGGUUUGCUUGAGGGAGUAGCUUUCCUGUGUUCAUGAGCAACAGGUAACAUUCUAUUUGUUUUAGUACCGGCUUUCCUGAUUUUCAAUUUCUUAUGAGAGGUAUAUAUGAAUUUAUUUACUUCAUUAACAUUACAUUAUUGGUGUAGGAUUAACAUCGAUUUUAGAAAGAUUAAAAAAUAAAUCCGCUUUGUACUCCCCUACACAACCAAAGAUAAGCAAGAAAUAAUUCCUUUUCGUCUUGAUUUCUCAGUUGUACCGGAAACAGCGGUAUGGUUUGCGUACACUCUACCCUCUCCAGACCCCACUUUGUGGGAUUUCACUGGGUCAUGAAGAUUUGAAUACUGAUUGUUUUGCUAAUCAGCCAUUCUUACAAGGACUGAUGUGAAACUCUUAUGCACUUACUAGAGUUAGUGAGAUCCAAGAGAUGAGAAUGUCAGUUUGUAUAAACAGAAUAUUCCUAGGAACUUGUUUGAGCUUACGUUCUUUUUUGUUGGACAUCGAUUGGCUUAUGCUAGAUCUGUUGGUAUCUUUUCAAUUUUCAUGGUUUGAGUUCGAAUUUAGUUUAAAGUUGCUUCGGAUUGAUAUAUCCUUUACACUAAAAAAAAAGAUGUGAUCUCGAGUAGAUUGAUGCUCUUCAAUUUUUGUAGGUGCAUAGCUUAAUGCAAUAAAGUCCUUGUAAUGUAUGCACGGGCAUAUAUAGAAGAGUGAAGCCCUUAGACGACCAAGGGCAAAACAGUCUUCUUAGCUCAGUCAUUCUAGGGUAAAAAUGGAAACUUAGAUUACUGAUACAUCAUUAUAAUCGUUAAUUGCAUGUUCUAGAAGCA